rnacentral:RNase_P_RNA from 1 species
CGAGUAAGACAGACGGCCGCGUGGACAGGCCGAAAGGCCGUUCAUGAGGAAAGUCCGGGCUCCAUAGGGCAAGGAUAACGGGUAACGCCCGCCGAAGGCGACUUCAGGAAAAGUGCAACAGAGAGAUACCGCCCCGCUGUCCCUUGAGGAAAGCGCCGGAACGCCGAAUUAGCAGCAUGAUUUUGUUGGCGAUGACGCGGACCGGGCCGCGGGGUAAGGGUGGAAAGGUGCGGUAAGAGCGCACCCGACGGCUCGAGAGUGCCCGCCGCUGUAAACUCUAUCCGGAGCAACACCGAUAUGGGAGCAUCGGGGUUCACCCCCGAAAGGCUGGCCCGGCCGCUCCCGGGGUGGCUGGAGCGCACGGGCAACUGUGCGCCUAGAUAGAUGGCUGUCUAAUACAGAACCCGGCUUAUAGUUUUACUCGCAAU